GUAGGACUCCAGUACUCUGUUCUCUGUUUUUGGACACAGGGACAGGAACAGCACCUGACAAGUAGACUUGUUAGCCUUGUGUUCAGGGAUUCAUAAACUCUAAUUUUUAACAGUCCUAAAUUGUCAUCUGAGCUCACUUAGUAUAAAAUCCUUACUGGCUCUCUUGCAUCUAAACGAUUGGGAAUGGAAGAAAGUGAGUUUCUUUUGGAAAGUCACAUCAGUAGUUCCCAUCUCAUUCUGGUCUUUGGUUUAAUUAUGACUUAUAAAAGGGGUAUUACCUAGCCGGUACUUUGAAUUUCCUGAGUAGAUUUCCCUCUCGUUAUGUAGGCAGAGGAAGUAUCAUUGACUUUUUUCACUUUCCUGGGGGUGGCCUGGGUACUGUCACAUUGCUUUGUUGUUUGCUGACUUCUUUUCCUUGAUCUCUGUUUGGUAUGAUAAUGAACAGCAAAGCUGAAAACUGGAGGGCUGUGUGUACACUUACAGACUUUGAAAACACUGACUCCUCUGUUUCUUCAUCAGUCUAAGAGGAUAAUAAAAUCCACCUCACAGUGAACAUAAAGAUUCUGAAAAGAAACACAAAGAGAAGGAGAAAACCAAACACAAAGAUGGAAGUUCAGAAAAGCAUAAAGACAAACACAAA